CAAGGCGUAGCUAAACAAUAAAGCACUCAGCUUACACCUGAGAGAUAUCUGUCACCUACUCAGAUCGCUUUGA
rnacentral:tRNA from 1 species